rnacentral:rRNA from 1 species
UGCUUAGUACGGCGAGUGAAGCGGCAAAAGCUCAAAUUUGAAAUCUGGUACCUUCGGUGCCCGAGUUGUAAUUUGGAGAGGGCAACUUUGGGGCCGUUCCUUGUCUAUGUUCCUUGGAACAGGACGUCAUAGAGGGUGAGAAUCCCGUGUGGCGAGGAGUGCGGUUCUUUGUAAAGUGCCUUCGAAGAGUCGAGUUGUUUGGGAAUGCAGCUCUAAGUGGGUGGUAAAUUCCAUCUAAAGCUAAAUAUUGGCGAGAGACCGAUAGCGAACAAGUACAGUGAUGGAAAGAUGAAAAGAACUUUGAAAAGAGAGUGAAAAAGUACGUGAAAUUGUUGAAAGGGAAGGGCAUUUGA